CCUUGCUAGCCUAAGACGUUUUUGCGGGAGCUGGUGUUACCCAUGUUGGAGAAUAGCCGCUCCAGGGGCGUUCCUGUGGAGAAUGGAAUGAAAACCCCAAAAAGUGGAUUCUUUGGUGGAGCAACUUCAUUCUUCAGUGUUUCCACCGAUGCUAAUUAUGAAGCUAGGAAAUCUCCCCGGACACAUCAGCUGAUAGCUUGACAGACACUUACAAGACAGUGUUGAUGAGCCUGUACAUGAUACAUGCCUACUGAAUGUAUUCAUAUAUACUUAAAAGGUUCUCCUAGGGCAUCUGGAUUUUUUCACUCAAGUCAUGAACACCAAUCAAUGAGACCAGCAGCUCAACAGAAUGAGAAAUGGUACAUUUAAAAGGAGAACUUAGUGAAACCAAGCAAAUACCUAAUUCUGCUCAUGACUGGGAAAGCUACAAGACUCUUUUCUUACAGCAAUUUCAGCAUUGUCCUCAUGACCAUGCUCACAAGCUAUGCAGGAACCAGACUACAAAUACUAGUUCAGUUUUGAAAGCCCAGUGGGAUCUGUGUGUCCAGACAACCCAGUGGCUUAACACACUGCCAGUUCAGGGAGAAAGUGACUUGGAAGUUAGUGAUGUAACAUAUCUGUGAGCCAUUAUCAAUCUCACUGGGAAGAUCUGAGAGUUCUUUUCCCUUAUCUUGUAAAGAAGUGCAUCAUAGUAGUUAGAUAGGAAACAAAAACCGGUAGGCAAUCAUCCCUUGUAGAGCAAAAAAACACUGAAGAGGUUAUAAAACAAAAGUAGACAUAGCUACUGACUGCUGAGGUAGUUUAUCCUAUAUAUUCAGUUUUUUCCAACUUUGGAAGUAAUAAAAUGUUACAUUUAAAUUGUUGACAUUAAAUAAGUUUUGAA